CAAAUAAGUUGUUCUAUCGCUGUUUUAUUUAAAUAAAAAAGAGGAAAGUCCGGGCAACACAGAGCGCCAUACUUCCUAACGGGAAGACUUGAAUAAAAUCGAGUAGAAAGUGCCACAGAAAAUAACCGUCUGCCAUUGGUGGAUAAGGGUGAAAACGUGAGGUAAGAGCUCACGACAUUUAUAGGUGACUAUGGAUGUGGGUAAACCUUAUGGGUUGAAAGACCAUGUAAACCGGGGUUUGAGGGCUGCUCGCCUGACUCGGAGGGUAGGUCGAUAGAUUUUUGUAGCAAUGCAAAAACUAGAUAAAUGAUAGAAGCCUGUUAAAAGGAACAGAACCCGGCUUAUAGACUUAUUUAAAAU
rnacentral:RNase_P_RNA from 1 species